UGCGGAGUGGAGAAGCGGCCCAUCUCACCAGUUUCAUAAGCUGGAGAACGCAGGUUCAAAUCCUGUCUCCGCGCCCA
rnacentral:tRNA from 1 species